rnacentral:tRNA from 1 species
GGGGUGGUAACUCAGUGGUAGAGUGCUUUCCUAGCACAUGUGAGGCACUGGGUUCGAUCCUCACCACCACA